CUUCAGCCUUCAGCCCUCUUCUUCCUGCCGAGGCGAGGGGGCUGCUGGGAGGUUUUGGUCCUGCAGACUCGAGAGUCGCUGGGAGGAGAGGAAAGUAUGUCGGCCCCAGGUCCCGGGCUCUGCUCCUGCGCUCUGGCCUCCGGUUUCUCUGGGCGUAGGAGAGGAGGGCAGGGAUCCUGUGAAUAAAAUGGCGCAGACGUGCUUGUGCGGCUUUCCUGCUGGAGUCCAUGAGCGUCUCGAGGAUUUGCAUCCAUGUGCUCAUAAGCAAUGGGAGUGAAUGAAGAGCCAGGCCCAGCAACAGAGGGGAGCCUGCCCACAUGGAGCAAAAGGAGCCGGACACCAGAUUCACCCACGGCGCG
rnacentral:lncRNA from 1 species